rnacentral:rRNA from 1 species
AACGAACGCUGGCGGCAUGCCUAACACAUGCAAGUCGAACGAGACCUUCGGGUCUAGUGGCGCACGGGUGCGUAACGCGUGGGAACCUGCCCUUAGGUUCGGAAUAACUCAGAGAAAUUUGAGCUAAUACCGGAUGAUGUCGAAAGACCAAAGAUUUAUCGCCUUUGGAUGGGCCCGCGUAGGAUUAGCUAGUUGGUGGGGUAAAGGCCUACCAAGGCGACGAUCCUUAGCUGGUCUGAGAGGAUGAUCAGCCACACUGGGACUGAGACACGGCCCAGACUCCUACGGGAGGCAGCAGGGGGGAAUAUUGGACAAUGGGCGAAAGCCUGAUCCAGCAAUGCCGCGUGAGUGAUGAAGGCCUUAGGGUUGUAAAGCUCUUUUACCCGGGAUGAUAAUGACAGUACCGGGAGAAUAAGCUCCGGCUAACUCCGUGCCAGCCGCCGCCGUAACAC